GAUGAACGCUGGCGGCGUGCCUAAUACAUGCAAGUCGAGCGAACGGACGAGAAGCUUGCUUUUCUGAUGUUAGCGGCGGACGGGUGAGUAACACGUGGAUAACCUACCUAUAAGACUGGGAUAACUUCGGGAAACCGGAGCUAAUACCGGAUAAUAUUUUAACCGCAUGGUUCAAAAGUGAAAGACGGUCUUGCUGUCACUUAUAGAUGGAUCCGCGCUGCAUUAGCUAGUUGGUAAGGUAACGGCUUACCAAGGCAACGAUGCAUAGCCGACCUGAGAGGGUGAUCGGCCACACUGGAACUGAGACACGGUCCAGACUCCUACGGGAGGCAGCAGUAGGGAAUCUUCCGCAAUGGGCGAAAGCCUGACGGAGCAACGCCGCGUGAGUGAUGAAGGUCUUCGGAUCGUAAAACUCUGUUAUUAGGGAAGAACAUAUGUGUAAGUAACUGUGCACAUCUUGACGGUACCUAAUCAGAAAGCCACGGCUAACUACGUG
rnacentral:rRNA from 1 species